UAAACUGACAUAGGAGCAUUUGGGGAGCA
rnacentral:piRNA from 1 species